rnacentral:lncRNA from 1 species
GCCAACUAAUAUUUUUUAUAAAAUUAUAAUAUUAUUAAUAUUUUGUAAAAUAUAAAAUAAUAAUUUUUAAUAAUAUUAUAUAUAUAAUUUAAUAAUAUCAAUUAUAAAAAUAAAAAAUAUCNUUUUGUAAAAUAUAAAAUAAUAAUUUUUAAUAAUAUUAUAUAUAUAAUUUAAUAAUAUCAAUUAUAAAAAUAAAAAAUAUCAAUAACAAUUCAAAACAAAAAUUCAAAAGUUUCAAAUACAUUAGAAAUGAGAGUGCUAAUUUAUUUGUAUUUUAAAAUUUUUUAUAAAUAUAUUAUAUUUUAGGAAUAUUUUUGUAAAAUAUAAAUAAUUUUCAGGGCGGAUUCAGGAUGUAUCAUGGCGGGGGCGGGUCAAAAUUUCUUCCGUUUCCUGUCCCGAAUCCGUCUCGGAUCGUAAAAUUUACACCGUUUUCCGCUCCGAAUCCGUUUAUUUUCUUCCAUUUACUGCGCCCGUAAGGGCGGAUCGGGGCGGGAGCUCCACCAACCCGGAUCCAUUUGCAUCCCUAAGCAUGAUCAAAUGUCUGUAAGAAUACCAUAUUCAGCAUUCAAAAUCAUUUUUUUUUAAAUAAGAUAAAUUAUCUCGUAGUUGAAACAUAUUAUUCUACCAAAUCAAGAAUAUUAGACUUUUAAGGAGCAAAAAUCAAAUUCCAACUUUCUAAAACUUAUCCAAAUCCAACUUUCAAAUCAAAAUAUAAUUAUAAAUGCAGUGCAGCUCGAAAUGCAUGCAGUUAAAAUACAACAGUUAAAAUUACAUACAUCUUAUUUAAUUAGAUAUAGAAGUAAGUGCAGAAAUUAUAAAUACUGUGUUUGAUUAUGCACAGUUUAU